UAUAAAGAACAGGGGUGCCUUUGGCUGAGAAAUACCCUCAUUAGCUGAUCUAGUUAAUACUAGCGUAGUGAGUGUCUUAGUUUUUUGC
rnacentral:ncRNA from 3 species